AAAAGAUUAGUUAAAAAAUAACCUUAAUUUGUCAAAUUAAAAUUAUUAAUUAAAUAAUAUCUUUUU
rnacentral:tRNA from 1 species